AUGCCUCAAGCUCCUACCCACGGACGCUGCCACUGCCAGCACGGCCUGCGAACACACCAAGGACCGGACACGUGCGGUGUUCACCUCUUUGCAACCUCAGCCAUCAGCCCAGGCCAGACAGCAGGGAGCGCGGUGGCCCCAGCGUGGCCGGCAGGGCCCGGGGGAGGCAGCAGCGAAGCACACAGAGCGAGGUCGAGGUGCGUACUAGCACUGUGUGCUCAGGCUCUGCUCUACUCAGCGCCCCCCGAUUUGCCCCUGUUCUCCCGGGGGGCACUCCAUUGUCACGUCCACUUACGUGUUCGCCAGGUUGGGGCUUCCGGGAGCCCCACGGGGGAGGCGGGGGAGGGGAACCAGCGGCGGGAAAAGGAUCCCUUCCACAGCCUGCAAACAGCAAACCCCCAGAUCUGCAGGAGGAAAACAAAUAAUAUCUGAGAAUGAGAAACCGGACAGAAGUAACAGAGUUCAUCCUCCUGGGACUGUCAGAUGACCCAAAGCUCCAGGUGGUGAUCUUUGUCUUUCUGCUCAUCACCUACACGCUCAGCAUCACUGGGAACCUGACCAUCAUCACCCUCACCCUGCUGGAUUCGCCCAUGUAUUUCUUCCUCAGAAAUUUCUCCUUAUUAGAAGUUUCAUUCACAACUGUCAGUAUACCCAAGUUCCUGGGCACCACUAUUUCAGGAGAUAAAACCAUUUCUUUUAAAGUUUGUAUUGCUCAUUUUUUCUCAUUCUCUUGGGAGUCACUGAAUUUUACCUUCUGGCUGCCAUGUCCUAUGACCGUUAUAUCGCCAUCUGCAAGCCUCUGCAUUACAUGGCCGUCAUGAAUCAGAGAGUCUGCACUCUCCUUGACUUUGCUUCUUGGCUGGCUUCGUUCUUAAUCGUAUUCCCAUCACUCAUAUUCAUACAGCUCGAUUACUGUAAGUCCAAUGUUGUAGACCAUUUUACCUGUGAUUAUUUCCCCUAACUACAUCUUUCUUGUUCAAACUCAAAAUUCCUAGAUAUAAUGGGGUUUUCCUAUGUUGUGUUUACUCUAAUGUUCACCUUGGCAUUAAUGAUUUUCUCCUACAUAUAUAUCAUCAGAACAGUUUUGAGAAUUCCUUCUACUAGUCAGAGGACAAAGGCAUUUUCCACGUGUUCUUCCCACAUGGUUGUCACCUCCAUCUGUUAUGGCAGCUGCAUUUUCAUGUACAUUAAUCCAUCAGCAAAAGACAGAGUGUCUUUGAGCAAGGGAGUUGCUGUGCUCAACACCUCAGUGGCCCCCAUGCUGAACCCCUUUAUUUACAGCCUACAGAAUCACCAAGUCAGGUGAGCCUUCGUGGACAUGGCGAGGAAGAAUGUAUUGGUCACAGCAAAUAUAAACAUGCAGUGUCAUGAAUGAGACUCACAGUGAGUGGAAAUUUAAAACACUGACAUGAAUUUUGAGUGGCCUCUUCAA
rnacentral:lncRNA from 1 species